GCUGUGCCCUACUUGGAAAGGUCCUGAUCACUUAGACUAUGUGUAAUUGGUUCCCUUCUGAGUAAAGCAACGCU
rfam:Pteropus alecto contig42584, whole genome shotgun sequence.